AGUAGGCUCUCCAGUCACAACUCACUUCAAAAUUAAUCUCCUCCCUCUCUCUCCUUCUCUCGUUUGCUCUCGCUAAUUUGAUAAAGGUUGAAAUACGUGUUAUUUUAAUUUAUUCAAACAAGUUUAAUAUAUGUUAAAAGUUCACACACAGUUGUAAAGCUCCCUUCAAAGCUGCCAACUCCCAGACACAUGCACGAGCACAAUCUGCUAAAUAAAUACCAAAUCGCAAUGAUGAGGUUAGAAAGGAUUCGAAGGCAACACUUCAGGUGAUACUUCAACAUUCACAGGGCAUCAGCAUCUGCAGGAGGACCCGAGAAAAGGUCAGCGUCUCACAGGGAAAUCACAGCAAAGCUUUCACUUUGUCCCAGAACCCCACCGUUUUUAACAGACAACAACAGAUGGCAUGCUACAAGUGAAGGUGAGUGUUCAUAUUUGUUCUGUUGCUUGAUUUCUUAUGUGAUAUUUUCACAGUCUGAAAGUUUGAUUGCAAAUGACUGUUCGAUUUUUUUUUUUUUUGUUUGUUUGUUUUUUUUUUAUGUUGUCUUGUAUUUUCCAGUCAAGCAGUUUGGGGCUUGUCUGAUUUUUUUUUCCUUGUUAAAUCAG
rnacentral:lncRNA from 1 species